UUAUAUAGCCGGAUUUUCAAACGAAUUUUACCCCUUCCAGGGAGACAGGCUUCCAAAAUUCUUCAGUAAAGAUGUCGAAAUCAUCGAGUGGCAUUGGCCGGUUGGCGGUGGUAGAACGAUGACCGACAAAGGAAGAGGCGGUGAAUGUCAGGCAAGAAUUCAAGGAAGAGCGGCUCAGGAGCGAAAAUCGCACGUGAUUUCACUGUGCUUGUAAUCUCAUACGGAUCCCUGUCUUACCAAACUUGGAUGGAACAAUGGACAGAAUCGUCGUCAGAAAAUCCUUGCAGAAGAUAUAUAGGAUUUAGUAUCGCAGUUUAAGGGAAGUUAAAUAAAGAAGAUGAUUAUUCAGAGGAAAUAUAAAUUUAUGAAUGCAACUAAUGAUUAUUCCAAAUAAAAUGUCGAGAAAUAAAUUAAAGUGCCAUUGCGAUAAGCGUACAUAAACAUGAAAAAUAUUCUUUAUACACAGAAAAUUAUUAUUUUCGUGUAAUAAAUUUUUCAAAAAAAAUCUGUGAAAUAAAAGUGAAUUUCAAAGAUACAAAAAAUUCAGUGAAUUUUUUUGAAAUUUUAAAUUUAAUUAGAAAGAAAGGAGAAUCGAUAAUUGUAAUAAAAACAUUAUAUAUUAGAUAUAUAGUAAUUAAUUAAAAAUGACUUACUAAAAAAAGUGCCACAGAUCUAUAUAAGCCUAUUUUCCAGAAAAAUUCUCGAUUAUACUACGUAAUUUUAAAAUACGUAACCAUAACUGCAUAAUUUUAAAAAUAAGUACAUAAAAUGCGUAAAAUUGGAUAUAAUCAUGGAUCGGAAGAAAUAGCGGGUUGUUACAUCUUCGGCAUCGAUUCCAAAAGUCUCGUUAUGUGUUACACAAUCGACCGAAGCUCUUCUUAAUGGAAGUAUUAGUAAAAAAUGGUUGAGAGCUUCGAUGUAUCGGCAUAAUUCACUCGUAAUUGGAUUUAGCUUAUGUCAUUACGACACAUGGAUCUUCACCGUCGUUUACAUUUUUUACAAAUUCAUCGUCGAUCGAAGCCAUAAUAUUCGGAGGUCACGCAAUUUCAUUUCAUCAAAAGGUGAAUCUUGAUCUUCAGCAAAAGUCACGUUCGGUUUCGCCUAACAAACGCUACCAAUCAAAAGCAAAAUAAUUUUAUUUUUAUAAUACAAUCACUGAUUAAUUUUGAUCAAUUUUGUGCAUAUUUUUAUUGCAAUAUUUCUCUAUAAUAUUUAUUCUUUUAAUGAUUUUACUUGAAAAAAGAUUUGAAGAGUAUAUAAAUGUAAUUUAAAGUAAAUAUUAUAUGUAUUAUUUUUUUAUGUUAAAUAGUUUAUUAUGCAUAUUUUAAAAAAAAAUAAUAUAUAUUUCUAAAAAAUAAAUUGUUAUUAAACGAGAA